AUUGAACGCUGGCGGCAGGCCUAACACAUGCAAGUCGAACGGUAACAGGAAGAAGCUUGCUUCUUUGCUGACGAGUGGCGGACGGGUGAGUAAUGUCUGGGAAACUGCCUGAUGGAGGGGGAUAACUACUGGAAACGGUAGCUAAUACCGCAUAAUGUCGCAAGACCAAAGAGGGGGACCUUCGGGCCUCUUGCCAUCGGAUGUGCCCAGAUGGGAUUAGCUAGUAGGUGGGGUAACGGCUCACCUAGGCGACGAUCCCUAGCUGGUCUGAGAGGAUGACCAGCCCCACUGGAACUGAGACACGGUCCAGACUCCUACGGGAGGCAGCAGUGGGGAAUAUUGCACAAUGGGCGCAAGCCUGAUGCAGCUAUGCCGCGUGUAUGAAGAAGGCCUUCGGGUUGUAAAGUACUUUCAGCGGGGAGGAAGGGAGUAAAGUUAAUACCUUUGCUCAUUGACGUUACCCGCAGAAGAAGCACCGGCUAACUCCGUG
rnacentral:rRNA from 1 species